GGUCCCACCUGACCCCAUGCCGAACUCAGAAGUGAAACGUCGUAGCGCCGAUGGUAGUGUGGGGUCUCCCCAUGUGAGAGUAGGGAACUGCCAGGC
rnacentral:rRNA from 1 species